rnacentral:snRNA from 1 species
AUCCUAGUGCACGGGUUUUACACGUAUCAGUGAGGAGACAUCCGAGAUCGUGUUUUUGCUAGUUGAAAACUACCAAAUUGACUACUUCAAGUAGGCCUACGGGCCAGCUUGGGAAUUUUUGAAACACUACUGCCUCGUCUCCUUGCUAGU